rnacentral:rRNA from 1 species
UACGGAGGGCGCAAGCGUUGUUCGGAAUCACUGGGCGUAAAGCGCGUGUAGGCGGCUUGGCAAGUCGGGUGUGAAAUCCCGAGGCUCAACCUCGGAACUGCACUCGAAACUGCCUGGCUCGAGUCCCGGAGAGGGUGGCGGAAUUCCCGGUGUAGGGGUGAAAUCCGUAGAUAUCGGGAGGAACACCAGUGGCGAAGGCGGCCACCUGGACGGUGACUGACGCUGAGACGCGAAAGCGCGGGGAGCAAACAGG